rnacentral:rRNA from 1 species
UACGGAGGGUGCAAGCGUUAUCCGGAUUCACUGGGUUUAAAGGGUGCGUAGGUGGAGUGGUAAGCCAGUGGUGAAAUCUCCAAGCUUAACUUGGAAACUGCCGUUGAUACUAUCAUUCUUGAAUAUCGUGGAGGUAAGCGGAAUAUGUCAUGUAGCGGUGAAAUGCUUAGAUAUGACAUAGAACACCGAUUGCGAAGGCAGCUUGCUACACGAUCAUUGACACUGAGGCACGAAAGCGUGGGGAUCAAACAGG